CGGGGCGUAGCUCAGUCUGGCUAGAGCGCUACGUUCGGGACGUAGAGGUCGCAGGUGCAAAUCGUGUCGCCCCGU
rnacentral:tRNA from 1 species